AAUAGAUACCCAGGUAGUCCACGCCGUAAACGAUGAUGACUAGCUGUCGGGGCGCUUAGCGUUCCGGUGGCGCAGCUAACGCGUUAAGUCAUCCGCCUGGGGAGUACGGCCGCAAGGUUAAAACUCAAAGAAAUUGACGGGGACCCGCACAAGCGGUGGAUUAUGUGGAUUAAUUCGAUGCAACGCGAAGAACCUUACCUGGGCUUGACAUGCACUGUGUCGUCGGUGAAAGCCGGCUAGUAUAGCAAUAUACGCUUGUCACAGGUGCUGCAUGGCUGUCGUCAGCUCGUGUCGUGAGAUGUUGGGUUAAGUCCCGCAACGAGCGCAACCCUGUGGUCUGUUGCCCUCCGAUUGAUUUCGGAAGCACUCUGGCCAGACUGCCCUGUGAAACGGGGAGGAAGGUGGGGAUGACGUCAAGUCCUCAUGGCCCUUAUGGGUAGGGCUUCACACGUAAUACAAUGGCGCGUACAGAGGGUUGCCAACCCGGCGAGGGGGAGCUAAUCUCAGAAAGCGCGUCGUAGUCCGG
rnacentral:rRNA from 1 species